AAAUGAAACCAACAGUCGGACUAUUCUUUGCCGUCGUGCUUUUGGUGGCACUUUGCUGUGAAGCCAGUGAAGAGGCUCAUAAACGUGACCUGGAAAAUCAGCUGGACCCAAUCCGACACGGACGUAGUGUAGUAGAGGCUCAUAAACGUGAUCUGGAAGAUCAACUGGACC